rnacentral:tRNA from 1 species
GCGGCUAUGGCGGAAUUGGCAGACGCGCUAGAUUCAGGUUCUAGUGGGCGCAAGCCCGUGCUGGUUCGACUCCAGUUAGCCGCA